CUCUAGUCGAUCAAGGGAUGCAUUUCUCUCUCUUCACGAUGGAGCUCUGACUGCUUAAUACGUCUCAAUUGCUUAUGGCAGCCUUUAGUUGUGGUUCGAAUUUUCGAAUUCAUUUCACUUCUUUAGGUGUUAGGAAAUUGAGCGGAUGAGUAGGUGUAGAUCUCACAUUUAUGUGAGUGAAACAGAUGAUCGAUGCUUCUCGGUCACCAAGCACUUGGUGAGAAGGUAUCUUCGCCUCUUGUAGAUGAAGACCGUCUCACUAUAGGUGUUUAAGUGUGAUUGAUGAAGCAUCAAUGAUGAUCCAGAGUAAGUAGGUCGGUCAUCCAUCUGACCCGUCUUGAAACACGGACCAAGGAGCCCAGCAAUUAUGCGAGUCACUCAGUCUUGCAUAGGCUUGAGAGGCGAAAUAAACAUGAUGGUAUGAUCUUGUUAAACUCUUCGGAGAAGCAAGCGCAAUACCGACCUGCUUCGUCUGCCUUUAUUGACAGUGAAGCGGAGUUUGAGCAUAAUUGCUGGUACCCGAAAGAUGGUGAACUAUACUUGGGCAAGACGAAGCCAGAGGAAACUCUGGUGGAGGUCUGUAGCGAUUCUGACGUGCAAAUCGAUCGUCAGACCUGAGUAUAGGGGCGAAAGACUAAUCGAACCAUCUAGUAGCUGGUUCCUUCCGAAGUUUCCCUCAGGAUAGCUGGCACAAGUAGCACUCUGUAGCACCCGGUAAAGCGAAUGAUUAGAGGUAUUGGGAUCGAAACGAUCUCAACCUAUUCUCAAACUUUAAAUGGGUGCGGAGCUUGACUUAUUUGGAGUAAAGUCUUGCCUCUUGUAAGAGUUGUGCCAAGUGGGCCAUUUUUGGUAAGCAGAACUGGCGCUGUGGGAUGAACCAAACACUGAGUUAAAGUACCUAAUGUGGACGCUCAUGAGACC
rnacentral:rRNA from 1 species